GGGGCUGACAUGGUUUCGACAGCAGGAUGAGGUGGUAUGUAAGCAUGCAGAGUGUGGUAGCGCAGCUCUAUAACCUGUGUUGCAACUUUUAAAAUGGCGAAGAUAACUUUGCUCUCGCAGCGUAACCGAAUAACAGUAAGUUAUGCUUAUCCCGGUACCAGGUACCGGGACGGGACGUUUCCCGGGCGGUCAGGCCCUGAGCCAACCCGAUAAGGAGACGCACGGAAAUCAGGGAUAGCCUGAGGAUUUCUCCGGUCUGAUGGUGAAAUAACAGGAGAUAAGGAUUAAUCCGGUUGUUCUGCACCUUUUUAAUCCCGACAAACAAGCAGGACUAAGCAUGUAGAAAGCAUAUGGUCUCCCUGUCUGGACGCGGGUUCGACUCCCGCCAGCUCCACUU
rnacentral:tmRNA from 1 species